UACAGAGGUCUCAAGCGUUGUUCGGAUUCAUUGGGCGUAAAGGGUGCGUAGGUGGCGUGGUAAGUCGGAUGUGAAAUCCCGGGGCUCAACCCCGGAACUGCAUUCGAUACUGCCUUGCUAGAGUACUGGAGAGGAGAUUGGAAUUUACGGUGUAGCAGUGAAAUGCGUAGAUAUCGUAAGGAAGACCAGUGGCGAAGGCGGCGUUCUGGACUGUUUCUGACACUGUAAAACGAAAGCCAGGGGAGCAAACGGG
rnacentral:rRNA from 1 species